AGGCCCCGCCUUCUGAAAUACAUCUCCUAUUGAGAACUCCCAGAUCAAUGUGUGGAGCUCAGCGAACGACAAGGAUCUGAUUCUCCAGGACCUUGAUGCCCUCCUGCACAGCCUGCAGCUCGGCGGCAGUCCUUGGCCGACUGCGUUCAACCGCCUUCAGUUUCUCCACCAUGAGGGGAGCCAGAGCAUGAAUGUACGGGGUAGAAAGGGGGCGGGUGGAAUGCUGAAACACUGACAGCAGCAGCUGAUAACACCGUGCCUGAACCUGUGGUAAAGCAACAGAAUAAGAGUGGAAUUACCAAAGUUAACAAGCCACAUCCAGGAUAUACAAUGUGUUUAAGGAACCUUUUUAGUUUCAAGCACUUACCCAUGGAUCACUAGAGUUGAGGGCAUUACGGAAGCGCUCCAUGCAGCCCUUCUGCAGGACAGUCACCCCUACAAGUUCAUUACUAGCAGAGAGCAGGAAGAGUGUAAUCGCUGUCAACAUGCUGAUCUCAUCCAAAUCAGGCCUGGACUCAUCUAAAGAAAAACACAAGUUUGACAAAUAACA